UCCCUCUCCUCCGUUGCUGUUUCGCGCUGCUCAUUUCUUCUUCAUCAAUUCUGCAACAAUGGUGAAUCACUUCUCUCCCUCUUCCUCUCUCUAUCGAUUAAAUAUAUUAAUCAAACUAUGUGUGUAACUGUAUUUUCACUUUCGUCAUCAUUUUCUUACAAUUUAUCAUUGUUCUUCCUUCUUCGUCAACACUGCAACAAUGGCAAAUCACUUCUAUCUCACGAUCGAUCGAUUUGAUUAAUGGAACGCUCUGUUUUCUUAUAAGUUUACUAAUGUUCUUCUAUUUUCUUCUUGAUUUGUUAUGAACUCGAAUAAAAACGCUAAUGAAAGUGUAGAUUUUCUCUUUGAUUUUAUCACUCUCGAUUCACUUUUAUUCAAAUUGCAAACUACCAAUCGUUUUGGUAUGUAAAUCGUAUAUUGCCACAAAUUUAUGCCUACUUUUAGGCAAAAUUAGAACUAAAUCGCUCAAACAUUUAUUGAAAUAAAAUUAUUCCUCAAGAUGUCAACAAUAAAUACAUUAGCAUUUCAUUCUUCUUCUUCUUUUAUAAAUAUUUAUUCACAUAUAUAUUUGUUUUGUGUUUGUUAUAAUGUAUAGACGACAUCAAAGAGAGUUGCAGAAAAGAAAGUUGCAAAGUUUGAGAAAAAUAUAACAAAAAGAGGUUUGGGUCCGAUGGCUUCAAAGAAGAUGAAAACAGAGCUUUAUGUGCUUGCUUUCUUCGUUGUAGUGGUGGUUGGAUCCUGUAAGUCCUCCUGCAUUUUCUUCUUUUUUACAUAAAACCCAAAUUACAUAAUCAAUUCAAGCAUUUAUUUUUGCCAUUAAAGGUAUAACUAUAAGGUUGAAAUACCAUAAAUGCAUAUAUUUGUCAACGAAUAGAACGUUUUUUUUAAGAAAUAUAAAAUCUGUUAAAAAUGGAAUACGAAGGAAAUUCAUAAAAUAUAAUCUAGUUGAUUAGAGGAAAUGAAAUAAAAGUUGAUCAUUAAAAUUUAAUUAUUUAUCUAUAUUCAAAUAUAUUUUGUUAAUUACAGAGAAUUAUAAUUUUAUUUUAUUUAUUUAUUUCAAUAUACAUACUGAUGGAAUACAAGGAUGAGAUUAAAUUGAGUUCGUUAACAAGGUAUCUAAAUUUUUAAAUUUAUGAGAGAAUUCAGUUUUUAAGUUUAUGAGAGAAUAGUGAAACCCAUUAACAAUAAAUUUAAGGAAUAGUGAAACCCAUUAACAAGAAAUUCAAAAAUUUAUGGGAGAAUUAAGUUUUCUUUUAACCAAAUAUGCAAUAAUUUAGAAUACUCAAAAACAAUGUUAGUUUUUAAUUUUACUAAAUGAGAUGUGUCAAAUGAUCAUUUUUUUUUGUAAAAUAAACUAUCUUUUUAAAUUAACUUUCCACGCCACAAAAAAACUUUAGAAAGUCAUUGUCAAAUUAUUUAGUUUUUACUUUUAUGAAAAAAUAUUAAUAAUUUUAUAAAAAUCGAUAUUAUUUAAAGAAAAUGUAUCACGUGAAAUUUUUUAAAUUUUUGAACAUUUUCUGAAAUUAGCUUUCCACAUUACAUAAACUUUUACAAAGACGUUAUAAAACAAUUUUAUUAUUUUUGUAACAUUUAUUUAAAAAGAUAUUCAUUUAAUGACACAACACCAUCUUUUUAUAUUUUUUAGUGAUCAACUGUAAAAUAUAUUUUUUAAAAAGAUAUAUACCUUUUACUAGGAUUCUACUUUUUAAUAUCAAAGUUGACCAACUUUAUACGUUUUUUAUCAUCAAAUAUUUUCGUAAUAAUACUUGGUAGAAUUUCACAAGUCAAAGAACAAAUUUAAUUUACAUUUAAAUCCAUAAAUACGUUUAUUGUUAAUUAAAUUGUGUUUUUUCUUGCAGUUAUAUUUCAGAUUGUCAGGCUGGCAUUGACGGGAUGAAAAGUUUCAUGGAUCAAAUGCUCAAUUAAAUUUAAAAUCAAUUAUCUUAAACUUCUAAUAAAAAUUGCAAUGCAUCUAAG
rnacentral:lncRNA from 1 species